rnacentral:sRNA from 3 species
UUCGAAUCCUGCACGACCCACCAAUAUACAAGGUGGUAACUGGUAGAGAACGUGAAGGUUAACGUUGCUUUAGCAACGGCCCGAAGGGCGAGGCGAAGCCGAGUCAUCCUGCACGACCCACCA